rnacentral:rRNA from 1 species
UACGACGGGGGCUAGCGUUGCUCGGAAUCACUGGGCGUAAAGCGCACGUAGGCGGAUUGUUAAGUCAGGGGUGAAAUUCUGGAGCUCAACUCCAGAACUGCCUUUGAUACUGGCGAUCUCGAGUCCGGGAGAGGUGAGUGGAACUGCGAGUGUAGAGGUGAAAUUCGUAGAUAUUCGCAAGAACACCAGUGGCGAAGGCGGCUCACUGGCCCGGUACUGACGCUGAGGUGCGAAAGCGUGGGGAGCAAACAGG